rnacentral:rRNA from 1 species
GUGGGGAAUCUUCCGCAAUGGACGAAAGUCUGACGGAGCGACGCCGUGUGAGUGAAGAAGGCCUUCGGGUCGUAAAGCUCUGUCAUCAGGGACGAACGGCCGGUGGAGUGGAAAGCCACCGGAUUGACGGUACCUGAGAAGGAAGCCACGGCUAACUACGUGCCAGCAGCCGCGGUAAUACGUAGGUGGCAAGCGUUGUCCGGAAUUAUUGGGCGUAAAGCGCGCGCAGGUGGGAUCUUAAGUCCAUUUUUAAAGUUCGGAGCUCAACUCCGUGAUGGGAUGGAAACUGGGAUUCUUGAGUACCGGAGAGGAAAGCGGAAUUCCCCGUGUAGCGGUGAAAUGCGUAGAUAUGGGGAGGAACACCAGUGGCGAAGGCGGCUUUCUGGACGGUGUCUGACACUGAGGCGCGAAAGCCAGGGGAGCGAACGGGAUUAGAAACCCUGGUAGUCC